rnacentral:rRNA from 1 species
GUGAGGAAUAUUGGACAAUGGGCGCAAGCCUGAUCCAGCCAUGCCGCGUGCAGGAAGACGCAUCUAUGGUGUGUAAACUGCUUUUGUACGGGAAGAAACACUCCCUCGUGAGGAAGCUUGACGGUACCGUAAGAAUAAGGAUCGGCUAACUCCGUGCCAGCAGCCGCGGUAAUACGGAGGAUCCAAGCGUUAUCCGGAAUCAUUGGGUUUAAAGGGUCCGUAGGCGGUUUAAUAAGUCAGUGGUGAAAGCCCAUCGCUCAACGAUGGAACGGCCAUUGAUACUGGUAGACUUGAAUUACAAGGAAGUAACUAGAAUAUGUAGUGUAGCGGUGAAAUGCUUAGAUAUUACAUGGAAUACCAAUUGCGAAGGCAGGUUACUACUUGUGGAUUGACGCUGAUGGACGAAAGCGUGGGGAGCGAACAGGAUUAGAUACCCCAGUAGUCC